UGUAGGAGUGACGCGAGUUUCUGCUUCUUGUAGAUUCUGGGCGAAAUUCAGUGUGGAUUCAACAUGGCGAACGACAACAUCGAGCAUCGAUUGACCGAGGAUGUACAAAAGUACUUUCACCAGUACGAUUCUAGCCAUGCAUUAUAGAAAGACCAGCAUGCAAAUUCCAAUUAAUGGAGGGAGAUUGCGGAGACGUUGGGGUCGGACCCAACCACUCGUUGGAAAAAGUAGGGGUAGGGUUCACGACAAGUUCGUCAAGGCAAAGAAACAAGGGCGCAGUGGAGAUGCCGGUGGAAGCGCUAAUUCAGAAAUGUUGCUGCUGUCUUGUUCAGCAUGUGAAGACUUAAAGCAACAUGCCGUCUUCACCAAAGAAUGGGGCACAAACGCCAGUGAAUGGAGACAGAGCCUGGUUUUGUUCUCUACGCCCCAGCACUGCCUGUUCACCGGCCCCAAGCACUACCUCUGCCCCCAGUACUGACUGGUGAUCGGCCCCCAGCCCAUCUCCCGCACUAAAGUGCAGUGUAGAAUUAGAAACUAUCUCCAUGCAGGACCUGGGAAGCUCUAUCCUGAGCCAACCUCCAAGACCUACUCCACUGGCUUGCUCCUCACAGAUGCCACAGAGCAGCAGCAGUAACAGGGUUGUGAGGAAAGAACUGCAGACACAGUCCUUGACACAUCACUUAAAGGCAUUGCAAAUGAUUGAAGACUUAUCAAGAUCUGGAGACCUUCAUGCACCAAGCCACCAGCUUGUCCCAGAAGUAAAGAAAAAAUAAUUUCAGACUUUACUUUGAUACCCUUUUCACUUGUUGUCCUUUUUCUUCCUCUCCUCACCCUGCACACUGCUCUCCAGACAUGCCUAAUUUCCCCCUUCUUCUCAUCCUCUCCACAGGGUCCUGGCACCUAUAGCUGAUUUAAUGGAUAAACUUGCGUUGCUCAUAAAUAUGUAUCUACACUCUUGA